UGCGCCCAUAGCUCAACUGGAUAGAGUACUUGACUACGAAUCAAGCGGUUAGAGGUUCGACUCCUCUUGGGCGCGG
rnacentral:tRNA from 1 species